AUUGAACGCUGGCGGCAGGCCUAACACAUGCAAGUCGAACGAGUGGCGGACGGGUGAGUAAUGUCUGGGAAACUGCCCGAUGGAGGGGGAUAACUACUGGAAACAGUAGCUAAUACCGCAUACCAUCGGAUGUGCCCAGAUGGGAUUAGCUAGUGGGUGGGGUAACGGAUCCCCUAGGCGACGAUCCCUAGCUGGUCUGAGAGGAAGAAGAUCCACACUGGAACUGAGACACGGUCCAGGCUCCUACGGGAGGGAUCAGUGGGGAAUAUUGCACAAUGGGCGCAAGCCUGAUGCAGCCAGGCCGCGUGGAUGAAGGAGGCCUUCGGGUUGUAAAGUACUUUCAGCGAGGAGGCGUUACUCGCAGAAGAAGCACCGACUAACUCCGUGCCAGCAGCCGCGGUAAUAC
rnacentral:rRNA from 1 species